UACGACUACAUAUCAGGCAUAUCAAUAAGCGGAGGAAAAGAAACUAACAAGGAUUCCCUAGUAACGGCGAGUGAAGCGGGAAGAGCUCAAAUUUGAAAUCUUAAAGGGUUCUACCUUGACGAAUUGUAGUUUAAAGAAGUGUUUUCGGUUAGAGGAGUUCGGUAAAAGUUCUUUGGAAUAGGACAUCAUAGAGGGUGAGAAUCCCGUAUUUGACCUAUUAUUUCCUAGCUUUGUGAUACACUUUCAAAGAGUCGGAUUGUUUGGGAAUGCAGUCCAAAAUGGGUGGUAAAUUUCAUCUAAAGCUAAAUAUUGGCGAGAGACCGAUAGCGAACAAGUACCGUGAGGGAAAGAUGAAAAGAACUUUGAAAAGAGAGUUAAACAGUACGUGAAAUUGUCAAAAGGGAAGCGUUUGACACCAGUGUUGUUUUCUCGAAAAUCAAUUAAAAAAAGUUGGAUUUUGUGUUGUAUUGACCUCUAACAGCUUGCUUCACUCUUUUCCAGCUUUUUUUAAUGCACUUUUCGUUUAACAAGUCAACAUCAGUUUCUUUUGUUGUAAAAGGGUCAUUGGAAGGUGGCUUUCUCUUCGGAGAAAGUGUUUAUAGCCUUUGCUCUCUGCAAUCGGAGAGAUUGAGGUCUGCAGCGUAGAUCCUUCGGGGUUAGAUACAUUUGUGCUAAGUUAUAGCCUUUCAUAGACAACUUGUUGGCUAUGAUCAGUCAUGUAGCUUACUCGCUUAUGCUAUUUUACCUACGCUUAGGAUGUUGAGCGCAUGUCUCUCUCU
rnacentral:rRNA from 1 species